UCCUACGGGAGGCAGCAGUGGGGAAUAUUGCACAAUGGGCGCAAGCCUGAUGCAGCAACGCCGCGUGAGGGACGAAGGCCUUCGGGUUGUAAACCUCUUUUAGUAGGGAAGAAGCGACUGGGUUUUCCUGGGAGUGACGGUACCUGCAGAAAAAGCACCGGCUAACUACGUGCCAGCAGCCGCGGUAAUACGUAGGGUGCAAGCGUUGUCCGGAAUUAUUGGGCGUAAAGAGCUCGUAGGCGGUUUGUCGCGUCUGCUGUGAAAACCCGAGGCUCAACCUCGGGCCUGCAGUGGGUACGGGCAGACUAGAGUGCGGUAGGGGAGAUUGGAAUUCCUGGUGUAGCGGUGGAAUGCGCAGAUAUCAGGAGGAACACCAAUGGCGAAGGCAGAUCUCUGGGCCGUAACUGACGCUGAGGAGCGAAAGCAUGGGGAGCGAACAGGAUUAGAUACCCUGGUAGUCCAUGCCGUAAACGUUGGGAGCUAGAUGUGGGGACCAUUCCACGGUCUCCGUGUCGCAGCUAACGCAUAAAGUUCCCCGCCUGGGGAGUACGGCCGCAAGGCUAAAACUCAAAGGAAUUGACGGGGGCCCGCACAAGCGGCGGAGCAUGCGGAUUAAUUCGAUGCAACGCGAAGAACCUUACCAAGGCUUGACAUAUACCGGAAACGGCUGGAAACAGUCGCCCCGCAAGGUCGGUAUACAGGUGGUGCAUGGUUGUCGUCAGCUCGUGUCGUGAGAUGUUGGGUUAAGUCCCGCAACGAGCGCAACCCUCGUCCUAUGUUGCCAGCACGUAAUGGUGGGAACUCAUGGGAUACUGCCGGGGUCAACUCGGAGGAAGGUGGGGAUGACGUCAAAUCAUCAUGCCCCUUAUGUCUUGGGCUUCACGCAUGCUACAAUGGCCGGUACAAAGGGCUGCGAUACCGCAAGGUGGAGCGAAUCCCAAAAAGCCGGUCUCAGUUCGGAUUGAGGUCUGCAACUCGACCUCAUGAAGUCGGAGUCGCUAGUAAUCGCAGAUCAGCAACGCUGCGGUGAAUACGUUCCCGGGCCUUGUACACACCGC
rnacentral:rRNA from 1 species